AAGUCGUAACAAGGUUUCCGUAGGUGAACCUGCGGAAGGAUCAUUAAUAGAUUCUUUACUGAAUUCUUACCCCGUGUGAACUGUUACCAUUGCCUUGGCGUCAGUGAUGGCACCCUCCGGAUAGCAGGCUUGCCUGUUGUCCUGGGGUUGUCCUCUAGGCGUCAUCUUUUUUACCAACUUGACUAUAUGACCGAGUAUACCACAAAGGACUAGAAAACUUUUAGCAACGGAUCUCUAGGCUCUU
rnacentral:misc_RNA from 1 species